AACGAACGCUGGCGGCAUGCCUAACACAUGCAAGUCGAACGAGACCUUCGGGUCUAGUGGCGCACGGGUGCGUAACGCGUGGGAACCUGCCCUUAGGUUCGGAAUAACUCCCCGAAAGGGGUGCUAAUACCGGCUAAUGUCUUCGGACCAAAGAUUUAUCGCCUUUGGAUGGGCCCGCGUUGGAUUAGCUAGUUGGUAGGGUAAAAGCCUACCAAGGCGACGAUCCAUAGCUGGUCUGAGAGGAUGAUCAGCCACACUGGGACUGAGACACGGCCCAGACUCCUACGGGAGGCAGCAGUGGGGAAUAUUGGACAAUGGGCGAAAGCCUGAUCCAGCAAUGCCGCGUGAGUGAUGAAGGCCUUAGGGUUGUAAAGCUCUUUUACCCGGGAUGAUAAUGACAGUACCGGGAGAAUAAGCACCGGCUAACUCCGUG
rnacentral:rRNA from 1 species